rnacentral:rRNA from 1 species
UACGUAGGGACCAAGCGUUGUUCGGAUUUACUGGGCGUAAAGGGCGCGUAGGCGGACAGUUUAGUCAGAGGUGAAAGCCCAGGGCUCAACCUUGGAAUAGCCUUUGAUACUGGCUGUCUUGAGUUCGGGAGAGGUGAGUGGAAUGCCGAGUGUAGAGGUGAAAAUUCGUAGAUAUUCGGCGGAACACCGGUGGCGAAGGCGGCGACCUGGGUAGAUACUGACGCUGAGGUGCGAAAGCGUGGGGAGCAAACAGGG